rnacentral:rRNA from 1 species
UGGGGAAUUUUGGACAAUGGGGGAAACCCUGAUCCAGCCAUCCCGCGUGUGCGAUGAAGGCCUUCGGGUUGUAAAGCACUUUUGGCAGGAAAGAAACGUCGCGGGUUAAUACCCCGCGAAACUGACGGUACCUGCAGAAUAAGCACCGGCUAACUACGUGCCAGCAGCCGCGGUAAUACGUAGGGUGCAAGCGUUAAUCGGAAUUACUGGGCGUAAAGCGUGCGCAGGCGGUUCGGAAAGAAAGAUGUGAAAUCCCCAGAGCUUAACUUUGGAACUGCAUUUUUAACUACCGGGCUAGAGUGUGUCAGAGGGAGGUGGAAUUCCGCGUGUAGCAGUGAAAUGCGUAGAUAUGCGGAGGAACACCGAUGGCGAAGGCAGCCUCCUGGGAUAACACUGACGCUCAUGCACGAAAGCGUGGGGAGCAAACAGGAUUAGAUACCCUGGUAGUCCACGCCCUAAACGAUGUCAACUAGCUGUUGGGGCCUUCGGCCUUGGUAGCGCAGCUAACGCGUGAAGUUGACCGCCUGGGGAGU